GACGAACGCUGGCGGCGUGCUUAACACAUGCAAGUCGAACGAAGUGGCGAACGGGUGAGUAAUACGUGGGUAACCUGCCCUCCUUUUUGGGAUAAGCCUUGGAAACGGGGUCUAAUACCGAAUAAAGGGGGAUGGGCUCGCGGCCUAUCAGCUUGUUGGUGGGGUGAUGGCCUACCAAGGCGGUGACGGGUAGCCGGCCUGAGAGGGUGACCGGCCACAUUGGGACUGAGAUACGGCCCAGACUCCUACGGGAGGCAGCAGUGGGGGAUAUUGCACAAUGGGCGAAAGCCUGAUGCAGCGACGCCGCGUGGGGGAUGAAGGCUUUCGGGUUGUAAAGCUCUGUUAAUCGGGACGCGGUACCGGAAUAGAAAGCCACGGCUAACUACGUGCCAGCAGCCGCGGUAAUAC
rnacentral:rRNA from 1 species